GAUGAACGCUGGCGGCGUGCCUAAUACAUGCAAGUCGAGCGAACAGACGAGGAGCUUGCUCCUUCGACGUUAGCGGCGGACGGGUGAGUAACACGUAGGUAACCUACCUAUAAGACUGGGAUAACUUCGGGAAACCGGAGCUAAUACCGGAUAAUAUUUCGAACCGCAUGGUUCGAUAGUGAAAGAUGGCUUUGCUAUCACUUAUAGAUGGACCUGCGCCGUAUUAGCUAGUUGGUAAGGUAACGGCUUACCAAGGUAACGAUACGUAGCCGACCUGAGAGGCUGAUCGGCCACCCUGGAACUGAGACACGGUCCAGACUCCUACGGGAGGCAGCAGUAGGGAAUCUUCCGCAAUGGGCGAAAGCCUGACGGAGCAACGCCGCGUGAGUGAUGAAGGUCUUCGGAGCGUAAAACUCUGUUAUUAGUGAAGAACAAACGUGUAAGUAACUGUGCACGUCUUGACGGUACCUAAUCAGAAAGCCACGGCUAACUACGUG
rnacentral:rRNA from 1 species